rnacentral:rRNA from 1 species
GUCGUAACAAGGUUUCCGUAGGUGAACCUGCGGAAGGAUCAUUAUUGAAUACGAUUGGUACUGAUGCUGGCUCUUCACUGAGCAUGUGCUCGUCCAUCUAUUUAUCUUCUCUUGUGCACAUCUUGUAGUCUUGAAUGAAACCUCUCGCAGUCAAUGCGGUUUGGGAGAUGCUAGCCCUUCUCCUGCUUCUUCAAGGCUAUGUUUUCAUAUACACUAUAAAGUUACAGAAUGUCUUUUAACGAUUGUGCUUGUCGCAGUCAUUAAACCUAUACAACUUUCAGCAACGGAUCUCUUGGCUCUCCUAUCGAUGAAGAACGCAGCGAAAUGCGAUAAGUAAUGUGAAUUGCAGAAUUCAGUGAAUCAUCGAAUCUUUGAACGCACCUUGCGCCCUUUGGUAUUCCGAAGGGCAUGCCUGUUUGAGUGUCAUUAAAUUAUCAACCUUGCUUGCUUUUACUAGCUUGAGUGAGGCUUGGAUGUGAGGGCUUGCUGGCUUCCUUCAGUGGAUGGUCUGCUCCCUUUAAAUGCAUUAGUGGGAUCUCUUGUGGACCGUCACUUGGUGUGAUAAUUAUCUAUGCCAUUUGACUUUGAAGCAAACUUAUGGGAACCUGCUUACAACCGUCUUCGGACAACUUUUGACAUUUUGACCUCAAAUCAGGUAGGACUACCCGCUGAACUUAAGCAUAUCAAUAAGCGGAGGAAAAGAAACUAACAAGGAUUCCCCUAGUAACUGCGAGUGAAGCGGGAAAAGCUCAAAUUUAAAAUCUGGCGGUUCUUGUAGCCGUCCGAGUUGUAAUUUAGAGAA